UGCUAAUGUAAAUGUAACCUACGUUGUUGGAGAGAGAAAUAACAUCAUGGAAGAGACAUAAAAGCUGGCAAAAGCUGACGACUGUCCUUAAGCCAUUCAGGUUUGUGACUGAGCUUUUUGGAGGUGAGACAUGUGUCUCAUGUUCAGUGGUUUUACCUGCUUACUGCCACCUGCAUCACACCAUGGAGGUCUCCAAUGAUGACUCAGACUACAUGGUGAAAUUUAAGACUGCCUUUACAAAGAACCUAUCCCAACAUGUAGCUACACUCAACCAUCAGUGGCUCAAGAUAGCUACUGUGCUUGACCCACACUUUAAGAAUUUAAAGUGUCUUGCAAGGGGAGAGUGAGAAGAGGUUUGGACCAGCCUUGAGGUUGCUGCAGGAACAGUGUAAAGAUGCCACCACAAAGGAGCCAGCAAAGACAAAGAGCCUCCUCCUCUCUUCAUUGUCUUCAGACUCUGAUUCAGAUGAGGAAGCCCUGUGUAACAGGGCCCUGAGCAGAAUCCACCAUCAGCGAUAAAGACUGCCCACUGCAGUCUAAUACAAUUAUCAUUGUUGUUUGUCGAAUCCUAAUGGCAACUGUAGUGUGUAAUCAGGUAUAAACACUUUAUUUACAAGACAAAACAUCUGUUACAGGUCAUAACAGAGUUUAAAUGUGAAGCUGGUCAAAUAAGCUGGUCAAAUAACCUUUUAUGUUUCUGCCUUAGUUUUUUAAGAAGAAAACCUGCAAUUUAUGUUGAAAAUGUUAUUAUUAUUAUUAUUAUUAUUAUUAGAGACACUAACAUUUUGAAAAUGUACUUAAAGUGCUUAAAAUAGCAUUUUAUUUUUAAG